rnacentral:rRNA from 1 species
GAUGAACGCUGGCGGCGUGCUUAACACAUGCAAGUCGAACGGAAAGGCCCCAGCUUGCUGGGGUGCUCGAGUGGCGAACGGGUGAGUAACACGUAAGUGAUCUGCCCUGCACUGGGGGAUAAGCUUGGGAAACUGGGUCUAAUACCCUAUAGGACCGCAUCGUGGUUGGUGUGGUGGAAAGGUUUUUCUGGUGUGGGAUGAGCUUGCGGCCUAUCAGCUUGUUGGUGGGGUAAUGGCCUACCAAGGCGGCGACGGGUAGCCGGCCUGAGAGGGUGUGCGGCCACAUUGGGACUGAGAUACGGCCCAAACUCCUACGGGAGGCAGCAGUGGGGAAUUUUGCACAAUGGGCGGAAGCCUGAUGCAGCGACGCCGUGUGGGGGAUGAAGGCCUUCGGGUUGUAAACUCCUUUCGUCAGGGACGAAGUUUUUUUGACGGUACCUGGAUAAGAAGCACCGGCUAACUACGUGCCAGCAGCCGCGGUAAUACGUAGGGUGCGAGCGUUGUCCGGAUUUACUGGGCGUAAAGGGCUCGUAGGUGGUGUGUCGCGUCGUCUGUGUAAUCCAGGGCUUAACUUUUGGUUGGCAGGCGAUACGGGCAUUGCUUGAGUGCUGUAG